GACGUAGGGCGCGAGCGUUGUCCGGAUUUAUUGGGCGUAAAGAGCUCGUAGGCGGCUUGUCGCGUCGUCCGUGAAAACUUGGGGCUCAACCCCAAGCUUGCGGUCGAUACGGGCAGACUAGAGUUCGGUAGGGGAGUCUGGAAUUCCUGGUGUAGCGGUGAAAUGCGCAGAUAUCAGGAGGAACACCGGUGGCGAAGGCAGGUCUCUGGGCUGACACUGACGCUCAUGCACGAAAGCGUGGGGAGCAAACAGG
rnacentral:rRNA from 1 species